UCGACCUGAGCUCAGGCAAGACUACCCGCUGAACUUAAGCAUAUCAAUAAGCGGAGGAAAAGAAACUAACUAGGAUGCCCUUAGUAACGGCGAGCGAACCGGGCAAAGCCCAACUUGAAAAUCUCCAGCCUCCGGCUGGCGAAUUGUAGUCUAGAGAAGUGCUCUCUGCCUCAGCCUGUUCCCAAGUCCCCUGGAAAGGGGCGUCAGAGAGGGUGAGAACCCCGUUGGGAUCGGAUCCUGAGGCUCCACGAGACGCUUUCGAAGAGUCGGGUUGUUUGGGAAUGCAGCCCAAAGCAGGUGGUAAAUCCCAUCUAAGGCUAAAUACAGACGGGAGACCGAUAGCAAACAG
rnacentral:rRNA from 1 species